GAUGAACGCUGGCGGCGUGCCUAAUACAUGCAAGUCGAGCGAACGGACGAGAAGCUUGCUUCUCUGAUGUUAGCGGCGGACGGGUGAGUAACACGUGGAUAACCUACCUAUAAGACUGGGAUAACUUCGGGAAACCGGAGCUAAUACCGGAUGAUAUUUUGAACCGCAUGGUUCAAAAGUGAAAGACGGUCUUGCUGUCACUUAUAGAUGGAUCCGCGCUGCAUUAGCUAGUUGGUAAGGUAACGGCUUACCAAGGCAACGAUGCAUAGCCGACCUGAGAGGGUGAUCGGCCACACUGGAACUGAGACACGGUCCAGACUCCUACGGGAGGCAGCAGUAGGGAAUCUUCGGCAAUGGGCGAAAGCCUGACGGAGCAACGCCGCGUGAGUGAUGAAGGUCUUCGGAUCGUAAAACUCUGUUAUUAGGGAAGAACAGAUGUGUAAGUAACUGUGCACAACUUGACGGUACCUAAUCAGAAAGCCACGGCUAACUACGUG
rnacentral:rRNA from 1 species